rnacentral:rRNA from 1 species
UACGUAGGGGGCGAGCGUUGUCCGGAAUUAUUGGGCGUAAAGAGCGCGUAGGCGGUGUGUCACGUCGGCCGUGAAAACCUGCAGCUUAACUGUGGGCGUGCGGUCGAUACGGGCAUCACUGGAGUUCGGCAGGGGAGACUGGAAUUCCUGGUGUAGCGGUGAAAUGCGUAGAGAUUGGAAAGAACACCGAUGGCGAAGGCACUUUACUGGGCUAUUACUAACACUCAGAGACGAAAGCUAGGGUAGCAAAUGGG